rnacentral:rRNA from 1 species
ACUCAAAUGAAUUGACGGGGGCCCGCACAAGCAGCGGAGCGUGUGGUUUAAUUCGAGGCUACACGAAAAACCUUACCUGGGUUUGACAUCCCACGAACGACGGUGAAAGCCGAAGGUCCUUCGGGACGUGGAGACAGGUGCUGCAUGGCUGUCGUCAGCUCGUGUCGUGAGAUGUUCGGUUAAGUCCGAAAACGAGCGCAACCCUCGGUGCAUGUUACAGGUGUCAUGCACAACUGCCGGCGGCAAGCCGGAGGAAGGUGGGGAUGACGUCAAGUCAGCAUGGCCUUUAUAUCCAGGGCUACACACACGCUACAAUGGGCGGUACAAUGGGUCGCGAAGCCGCGAGGUGGAGCCAAUCCUGAAAAGCCGUUCGUAGUUCGGAUUGCAGGCUGCAACUCGCCUGCAUGAAGCUGGAGUUGCUAGUAACCGUAUAUCAGCAUGAUACGGUGAAUACGUUCCCGGGCCUUGUACACACCGCCCGU